rnacentral:rRNA from 1 species
CCUACGGGCGGCUGCAGUAGGGAAUCUUCCACAAUGGGCGCAAGCCUGAUGGAGCAACACCGCGUGAGUGAAGAAGGGUUUCGGCUCGUAAAGCUCUGUUGUUGGAGAAGAACGUGCGUGAGAGUAACUGUUCACGCAGUGACGGUAUCCAACCAGAAAGUCACGGCUAACUACGUGCCAGCAGCCGCGGUAAUACGUAGGUGGCAAGCGUUAUCCGGAUUUAUUGGGCGUAAAGCGAGCGCAGGCGGUUGCUUAGGUCUGAUGUGAAAGCCUUCGGCUUAACCGGAGAAGUGCAUCGGAAAUCGGGCAACUUGAGUGCAGAAGAGGACAGGGGAACUCCAUGUGUAGCGGUGGAAUGCGUAGAUAUAUGGAAGAACACCAGUGGCGAAGGCGGCUGUCUGGUCUGCAACUGACGCUGAGGCUCGAAAGCAUGGGUAGCGAACAGGAUUAGAUACCCCAGUAGUC